GACGAACGCUGGCGGCGUGCUUAACACAUGCAAGUCGAACGGAAAGGCCCUGCUUUUGUGGGGUGCUCGAGUGGCGAACGGGUGAGUAACACGUGAGUAACCUGCCCUUGACUUUGGGAUAACUUCAGGAGACUGGGGCUAAUACCGGAUAGGAGCUCCUGCUGCAUGGUGGGGGUUGGAAAGUUUCGGCGGUUGGGGAUGGACUCGCGGCUUAUCAGCUUGUUGGUGGGGUAGUGGCUUACCAAGGCUUUGACGGGUAGCCGGCCUGAGAGGGUGACCGGCCACAUUGGGACUGAGAUACGGCCCAGACUCCUACGGGAGGCAGCAGUGGGGAAUAUUGCACAAUGGGCGGAAGCCUGAUGCAGCAACGCCGCGUGCGGGAUGACGGCCUUCGGGUUGUAAACCGCUUUCGCCUGUGACGAAGCGUGAGUGACGGUAAUGGGUAAAGAGGCACCGGCUAACUACGUG
rnacentral:rRNA from 1 species